ACUCAAAGGAAUUGACGGGGGCCCGCACAAGCGGUGGAGCAUGCGGUUUAAUUCGAUGCAACGCGAAGAACCUUACCUACUCUUGACAUCCAUGGGACCUGGCAGAGAUGCCGGGGUGCCUUCGGGAACCAUGAGACAGGUGCUGCAUGGCUGUCGUCAGCUCGUGUCGUGAGAUGUUGGGUUAAGUCCCGUAACGAGCGCAACCCUUAUCCUUAGUUGCCAUCAGGUAAAGCUGGGAACUCUAGGGAGACUGCCGGUGAUAAGCCGGAGGAAGGCGGGGACGACGUCAAGUCAUCAUGGCCCUUACGAGUAGGGCUACACGCGUGCUACAAUGGGUGGUACAAAGGGAUGCAGAAUCGCAAGAUGAAGCGGACCCCUCUAAAGCCACUCGUAGUCCGGAUUGGAGUCUGCAACUCGACUCCAUGAAGUUGGAAUCGCUAGUAAUCGUGGAUCAGAACGCCACGGUGAAUACGUUCCCGGGCCUUGCACACACCGCCCGU
rnacentral:rRNA from 1 species